GCCAAAACACACCUUCCUUUCCUUUCUCAUCAAUCCCUCCAAUUGCAAUCUUCCUUCACUUGGCGCCGACACAUAUGUUCAACACUUGAGGGUUUAAUUUCCUGCAUGGCUAGUGAUGUAAUAUCUACCUUUCUCUUCACUUCUUUCACCUUCUUCCUCUUCUUUUUUCUUGUCACUACUGCUCACUCCUCCAUGGCCAAUAUAGACCAUAGUUUGCCACCUGCAGCUACCACAAGAAAUUUGACUCAAAACGGCAUGCAGUUGCCCAUAACUAGACCUUCUCAGCCCAAUGAGAAGAAGAAUACUGUUUCACAGUCUCAACAAAGAGGAUUACGGUCUGGCAGAACUCCAUUACCAUGGCAAGAAAGGAUCUUCAAUGCAAGCGCACAUGAAGUCCCCAGUGGUCCAAAUCCCAUUUCAAACAGGUGAAAGAGAGGCAACGUAUCAUUUGAGCUCAUCACCUCCUCUUUUUCUGGUUUUGGUUUGUGUUUGGUUAAUCACCUAAUAUAUAUAUAUAUACAGUUAAUUAGCUAUAUAGCCAGGGUCUUGCUUUAUUGAUAUUGUUACGGCAUUGUGAGAUCACUACAGUUCAUUCUUAUUAUUGUUUUCCAAACAGGACCUAUAUAUCUACCAAUCAUUUAACCAUGAGGAUGUAUAUGAUAAUGAUACAUAUCUUCGGGGUUUCUUUUCAUGCAGAGAAUAGUCAUGAUUACGCCACACUUGAUCUCCUUUACUUCUCUUAAUUAUUGUUGCCAUUAUCCUUAAUAAUCAUCAUUAUGUUCUCCCAUUUUAAUGAUUUUUCCCUUAAUUAAUUUGCAGCUUAUAUCAAAAGGGCAUGCCUAUAUAUCAUUUUUG
rnacentral:misc_RNA from 1 species